rnacentral:lncRNA from 1 species
UGAGUGCGGAAAAUAAAUGAAAGUAGUGCGAGUGUGAAAAGUAAAUAAAAGUAGUGCGAGUGCGGGAAAUAAAUAAAAGUAGUGCGAGUGCGAGAAAUAAAUAAAGUAGUGCGAGUGCGAGAAAUAAAUAAAAGUAGUGCGAGUGCGAGAAAUAAAUAAAAGUAAAGACAGUGUGGGAAAUAAAUAAAGUAAAGGCAGUGCGG